AACGAACGCUGGCGGCAUGCCUAACACAUGCAAGUCGAACGAGACCUUCGGGUCUAGUGGCGCACGGGUGCGUAACGCGUGGGAACCUGCCCUUAGGUUCGGAAUAACUCCCCGAAAGGGGUGCUAAUACCGGAUAAUGUCUUCGGACCAAAGAUUUAUCGCCUUUGGAUGGGCCCGCGUUGGAUUAGCUAGUUGGUAGGGUAAAAGCCUACCAAGGCGACGAUCCAUAGCUGGUCUGAGAGGAUGAUCAGCCGCACUGGGACUGAGACACGGCCCAGACUCCUACGGGAGGCAGCAGUGGGGAAUAUUGGACAAUGGGCGAAAGCCUGAUCCAGCAAUGCCGCGUGAGUGAUGAAGGCCGUAGGGUUGUAAAGCUCUUUUACCCGGGAUGAUAAUGACAGUACCGGGAGAAUAAGCUCCGGCUAACUCCGUG
rnacentral:rRNA from 1 species